UGUGGUGAUUCGCUUUAGUUUGGU
rnacentral:siRNA from 1 species